CCGCGCGCCGCCCGCCGCCGUCGCGCGUUGCCCGCCCCCGCCGCCGCAGCGUGCCGCCGGUCGCGCUCGCAGCCGCCCCGCUCGGCGCACCCACCUCGCUCGAGGUUGGGCGAGCGCGGAAGUAGAGUUCGGGACGGCGGAUCGGAAUCCAUCGACCGAUUCUCUCUUUCUCUCCUCUCCCUUGGAUUCCUGUAGGCGGUGGAUCAAUCUUGCCUUCGUGGUGGCGGCAGAACGAGCGCCGUGAGAUCAGGUGGACCUGCUUCUGAUUCCUCCUGGUGCUUGGGACGUUUUCAGCUAGAUUGAUUUACUAGCUACGUCCAAGCAGGCCACUGGAUUGAUUUCAUGAGGCUUACUAGCUACGUCCCAAUCAAGAUAGCUAGACUUACUAGCUACGUCCCAAGCAGGCCAAUCCAAUAUGUUGAUCAAUUUGAUUGUUCUGGCUGGAGGUCAGGAGGUCAGAAGGUGCGUCCUUCACACUAAAUCGUACCCGAAGUUCUACAAUUAGGUAUGAUUACAACUAGGAAGCUACCCUUCCUGGAUAACUAUUUUAGUACCUGUUUUUAUUUACUGAUGAGAACUAAAUAAAUUGGCUACUGUCAUGUUUCUCCCUUAAAAAAAAGAUUCUGGUAGAUGUGCUUGACAAUAAUAAUGGUAAUACCUAAAGGAGUUCUCUUGCUCCAAGUUAGCGCCUAUAUAUUCUUAGCUACCAUGUACUUGGGUUACUGGUUUGUGUUAAGGAUUCCGCUACUGUUGCCAAGGUAUCUACAGAAUUUUGUUAUAGUACUAGCUGAACAGAAAAAGAGAUGGUCGCCAAACCUCAAAAAAUAUCAAUCGGCUAUUAAUUUACUAGACUCUAUUUCAGUCUAAUUAGUGGAGACUUAGAGAGUGGAAAAAAUGUUUAAAAAACCUAAUAUAAAAAUAUGAAAUAUUUAGUUAUUCUCUAUAUCCGAGAAAGCAAUAAAGAACUUUGUGUUAGGCAGUGCACUGCGGGAGCGUGUACUGCGACUAUUUUUGCACUGCCGAGGAAGGCUUGAUCUUUCCCACAGAAGCUCGCUUCGAGGUCUUGGUGUGGGGCUGCUGGGGAAGGGAAUGUCCUUCUACUUAGUGAAAGUCGUUGUUGCUGAGGCUGAUUUUACCUUCUUUCUAAGUGUUCUAUUUUAUUAGUGCAAUUGGUUCGAGUUAAACUAACAUCCAUCGUACAAAUAUUUGUGGGACAUAUUCAGGUAAAUUUACCAUGUUCUGUUUUCAUUACCCAGCGCUAAAAUGUAGAUGUUAUGAUGACCAAUGACCAUAAACUUUUCUCAAGAAAUCUGGAAAGAAGCGAGGAUUCUCAAGUAAGAUAAGUCUGCUUACAAAAAUUUGCCUACUGGAAAGUAGAUAAGAGACUCAUGAAGUAAGAAUACAUGCCUACAUAUUAUACAUAGCAGGCUUCUGACUUCUCUGAUUCUGCAAGCCUUGAGGCUGUGAAACAUCUAUGCUAGGUCACCACACUUCUGCCACCUUCAUUUGAUGAGGUUCAGCGUUCACUACUAUGAAAGAAGAAGGCAUGUAUUUUCCUUGUGGAAUUUCCAGUAGAAUGGCAGUGAGAACGAGUAAAAAUCUACAACAGUAUGACUGUAUGGUUCUCACUCAAAGUAGAGGCCCAACAAACUUUUUUGAAGUAGGAGUCGAAAACUACAAAUCCAUCUAUUCCUAGAAUGGAGCUGGUUGGAGUUGAGCCUACAAUUGAGCGGGUAGUUCGGUGGCACCGACAUCCAGCUGAAAGUUUUAUAGGAGGGUUAGUAAAGCAAAUUUGUUCAUGAGGAAAUGUGCCAGCAAAACAUUGAGUCAGAGUGUAAGACAAAUGCUCUUAACAGUUUUUUUGGUCGCUUUUCUUUAAUUACAAUUCUUAUUAUUUUUAGUUGGCAUUGAUGUACAAAAGAAAAUCCUGUGCCUUUUUUGUCCUCUCAUUGACCAUUGUAUUUUUGAGUCAUAUCAGUCUAUGUAAAAGAAUUCAGUACCUUAUGUUUUGUAUAUUUAGAAAUGUCUAAAGGCGUGGUGUUA